UACGUAGGUGGCGAGCGUUGUCCGGAUUUACUGGGCGUAAAGCGCGCGCAGGCGGACUGAUCAGUCUGGGGUGAAAUCUCACGGCUCAACUGUGAGCGGUCCCUGGAUACUGUCAGUCUUGAGAUGUCUAGAGGAGAGCGGAAUUCCCGGUGUAGUGGUGGAAUGCGUAGAGAUCGGGAGGAACACCGAUGGCGAAGGCAGCCCCCUGGGUCAAGAUUGACGCUCAUGCACGAAAGCGUGGGGAGCAAACAGG
rnacentral:rRNA from 1 species